rnacentral:rRNA from 1 species
UAAUACAGAGGGUGCGAGCGUUAAUCGGAGUUAUUGGGCGUAAAGGGCGCGUAGGCGGUUUGUCAAGUGAGAUGUGAAAUCCCUGGGCUUAACCUAGGAAUUGCAUUUUAAACUGAAAGACUAGAGUACAGUAGAGGGUGGCGGAAUUUCCGGUGUAGCGGUGAAAUGCGUAGAGAUCGGAAGGAACAUCAGUGGCGAAGGCGGCCACCUGGACUGGUACUGACGCUGAGGCGCGAGAGCGUGGGGAGCAAACAGGAUUAGAUACCCUGGUAGUCCACGCUGUAAACGAUGAGAACUAGAUGUUGGUGCGCGCGAGCGCACAAGUAUCGAAGCUAACGCGAUAAGUUCUCCGCCUGGGGAGUACGACCGCAAGGUUA